CCUACGGGAGGCAGCAGUGAGGAAUAUUGGUCAAUGGACGCAAGUCUGAACCAGCCAAGCCGCGUGAAGGAAGACGGCCCUAUGAGUUGUAAACUUCUUUUGUACGGGAAUAAACGCAGAUACGCGUAUCUUUCUGCAUGUACCUUACGAAUAAGGAUCGGCUAACUCCGUGCCAGCAGCCGCGGUAAUACGGAGGAUCCAAGCGUUAUCCGGAUUUAUUGGGUUUAAAGGGUGCGUAGGCGGUCGGUUAAGUUAGGGGUGAAAGCCCGGGGCUCAACCGCGGAAUUGCCGUUGAUACUGGUAGGCUAGAGAGUAGUAGAGGUAGGCGGAAUGUGUGGUGUAGCGGUGAAAUGCUUAGAGAUCAUGCAGAACACCGAUUGCGAAGGCAGCUUACCAAGCUGCGACUGACGUUGAGGCACGAAAGCGUGGGGAGCAAACAGGAUUAGAUACCCGUGUAGUC
rnacentral:rRNA from 1 species